GGUUUCCUUUGCUGUGCAAAAGCUUUUAAGUUUCAUUAGGCCCCAUUUGUUUAUUUUUGUUUUUAUUUCCAUUUCUCUAGGAGGUGGGUCAAAAAGGAUCUUGCUGUGAUUUAUGUCAUAGAGUGUUCUGCCUAUGUUUUCCUCUAAGAGUUUGAUAGUGUCUGGCCUUAAAUUUAGGUCUUUAAUCCAUUUUGAGUUCAUUUUUGUGUAUGGUGCUAGAGAGUGUUCUAAUUUCAUACUUUUACAUGUACCUGUCCAGUUUUCCCAGCACCACGCAUUGAAGAGUCUGUCUUUUCUCUACUGUAUAUUCUUGCCUCCUUUAUCAAAGAUAAGAUGACCAUAUGUGCGUGGGUUUAUCUCGGGGCUUUCUAUUCUGUUCCAUUGAUCUAUAUUUCUGUUUUUGUGCCAGUACCAUACAGUCUUUUUUUUUUUUUUUUUUUUUUUUGUGGUACACGGGCCUCUCACUGUUGUGGCCUCUCCCGUUGCGGAGCACAGGCUCUGGACGCGCAGGCUCAGUGGCCAUGGCUCACAGGCCUAGCCGCUCCACGGCAUGUGGGAUCCUCCCGGACCGGGGCACGAACCCGGGUCCCCUGCAUUGGCAGGCAGACUCUCAACCACUGCGCCACCAGGGAAGCCCCAUACUGUCUUGAUUACUGUAGCUUUGUAGUAUAGUCUGAAGUCAGGGAGCCUGAAAUUAAGAUAUUUGUAGUGAGGUGGAUGGACCUAGAGUCUGUCAUACAGAGUGAAGUAAGUCAGAAAGAGAAAAACAAAUACCAUAUGCUAACACACAUAUAUGGAAUCUAAAAAAAAAAGAAAAAAAUGGUUCUGAAGAACCUAGGGGCAGGACAGGAAUAAAGACACAGACGUAGAGAAUGGACUUGAGGACACGGGGAGGGGGAAGUGUAAGCUGGGACGAAGUGAGAGAGUGGCAUGGACAUAUAUACACUACCAAAUGUAAAAUAGAUAGCUAGUGGGAAGCAGCCGCAUAGCACAGGGAGAUCAGCUCGGUGCUUUG